rnacentral:rRNA from 11 species
CUAUAUAACAAGUGCAAAUGAAUAUCCCAAAGGCACCAAAUCCAAUCUUGGAAUCUAAGCAGGUUUGGCCCUGGUUAGUACUUGGAUAGGAGACUGGCAAUGAAUACCAGUGCUGUAGGCU